UACGUAGGGUGCGAGCGUUAAUCGGAAUUACUGGGCGUAAAGCGUGCGCAGGCGGUUAUGUAAGACAGAUGUGAAAUGCCCGGGCUUAACCUGGGAACUGCAUUUGUGACUGCAUGGCUAGAGUGUGUCAGAGGGGGGUAGAAUUCCACGUGUAGCAGUGAAAUGCGUAGAUAUGUGGAGGAAUACCGAUGGCGAAGGCAGCCCCCUGGGAUAACACUGACGCUCAUGCACGAAAGCGUGGGUAGCAAACAGG
rnacentral:rRNA from 1 species